GAUGAACGCUGGCGGCGUGCUUAACACAUGCAAGUCGAACGAAGCACUUUAUUUGAUUUCCUUCGGGACUGAUUAUUUUGUGACUGAGUGGCGGACGGGUGAGUAACGCGUGGGUAACCUGCCUUGUACAGGGAGAUAACAGUUGGAAACGGCUGCUAAUACCGCAUAAGCGCACGGCAUCGCAUGAUGCAGUGUGAAAAACUCCGGUGGUAUAAGAUGGACCCGCGUUGGAUUAGCUAGUUGGUGAGGUAACGGCCCACCAAGGCGACGAUCCAUAGCCGAGCUGAGAGGGUGACAGGCCACAUUGGGACUGAGACACGGCCCAAAAUCCUACGGGAGGGAGCAGUGGGGAAUAUUGCACAAGGGGCGAAAGCCUGAUGCAGCGACGCCGCGGGAGCGAAGAAGUAUUUCGGUAUGUAAAGCUCUAUCAGCAGGGAAGAUAAUGACGGUACCUGACUAAGAAGCACCGGCUAAAUACGUG
rnacentral:rRNA from 1 species